CACGUAGGGGGCGAGCGUUGUCCGGAUUUAUUGGGCGUAAAGAGCUCGUAGGCGGUUCGGCAAGUCGGGUGUGAAAUUUCGAGGCUCAACCUCGAAACGCCACUCGAUACUGCUGUGACUGGAGUCCGGUAGAGGAGUGCGGAAUUCCUGGUGUAGCGGUGAAAUGCGCAGAUAUCAGGAGGAACACCGGUGGCGAAGGCGGGUCUCUGGGCAGUAACUGACGCUGAGGAGCGAAAGCGUGGGGAGCGAACAGG
rnacentral:rRNA from 1 species